UACAGAGGUCCCAAGCGUUGUUCGGAUUCACUGGGCGUAAAGGGUGCGUAGGUGGUGAGGUAAGUCGGAUGUGAAAUCUCCGGGAUCAACCCGGAAAUGGCAUUGGAAACUACCUUGCUGGAGGAUUUGAGGGGGGAUUGGAAUACUUGGUGUAGCAGUGAAAUGCGUAGAUAUCAAGUGGAACACCAGUGGCGAAGGCGAAUCCCUGGAAAAUACCUGACACUGAGGCACGAAAGCUAGGGGAGCAAACAGG
rnacentral:rRNA from 1 species